rnacentral:sRNA from 1 species
GACCGUUCUCCGCCCGAAGAUGGCCAU